rnacentral:rRNA from 1 species
GAGGGAGUCUUGCGCAAUGGGCGAAAGCCUGACGCAGCAACGCCGCGUGGGGGAUGAAGGCCUUCGGGUUGUAAACCCCUUUCAGGAGGGAAGAAAAUGACGGUACCUCCAGAAGAAGCCCCGGCCAACUACGUGCCAGCAGCCGCGGUAAUACGUAGGGGGCGAGCGUUGUCCGGAAUUAUUGGGCGUAAAGAGCUCGUAGGCGGCUCAGCAAGUCGGCUGUGAAAUCCCGAGGCUCAACCUCGGAACUGCAGUCGAUACUGCUGUGGCUAGAGUCUGGUAGAGGAGANUGGAAUUCCCGGUGUAGCGGUGAAAUGCGCAGAUAUCGGGAGGAACACCAGUAGCGAAGGCGGCUCUCUGGGCCAGUACUGACGCUGAGGAGCGAAAGCGUGGGGAGCAAACAGGAUUAGAUACCCUGGUAGUCCACGCCGUAAACGUUGGGUACUAGGUGUGGCGUCUCGAUCAACGGAUGCCGUGCCGAAGCUAACGCAUUAAGUACCCCGCCUGGGGAGUACGGCCGCAAGGCUA